AAAAAUUCAAUGAAGAGGACAGUACUUUUCAGAAGUCUUAAAGCGAGCAAGGGGAGAGUGAAAGCCUUGUAGGAAUAUGAAAAGCCAUUGUGGUAACACAAAGGUAUUAUAAGUUUUCUGUUUAAAACUUAUAAAGGAAGAGAACCUCGGAGAAGCUACCUGAAAGAGUAACACUUUGCUUGUAUAGGGUAAGUCGCAGCAAUGCGUUAUAGUUUUGAGUGGACUUAGUUAAGUCAACAAGAGUGGUACCGCGGAUACACCCGUCUCUAUU
rnacentral:ncRNA from 1 species